rnacentral:rRNA from 1 species
GGUUAAGCGACUAAGCGUACACGGUGGAUGCCCUGGCAGUCAGAGGCGAUGAAGGACGUGCUAAUCUGCGAUAAGCGUCGGUGAGGUGAUAUGAACCGUUAUAACCGGCGAUUUCCGAAUGGGGAAACCCAGUGUGUUUCGACACACUAUCAUUAACUGAAUCCAUAGGUUAAUGAGGCGAACCGGGGGAACUGAAACAUCUAAGUACCCCGAGGAAAAGAAAUCAACCGAGAUUCCCCCAGUAGCGGCGAGCGAACGGGGAGGAGCCCAGAGCCUGAAUCA